AGUGCACUACUUUAUACUGCAGCCCUAUUCCCUAUAUAGUGCACUACUUUAUACUACAGCCCUAUUCCCUAUAUAGUCCACUACUUUUAACCAGAGCCCUGAAUAGACCAGACACCUAAUCAUGUGUAUAUAUCUGAAUCUAGCAUUGUGUUUGUCCUGUUAAUCACCCUGUGAAUGACACUCUAUGGGUCCAGGUUAACACUCUAUAAAGGGAACAGAAUGACUAUGGGUCCAGGUUAAUAGAAUGACUCUCUAUGGGUCCAGGUUAACACUCUAUAAAGGGGAAUAUAAUGACUCUCUAUGGGUCCAAGUUAACACUCUAUAAAGGGGAAUAGAAUGACUCUCUAUGGGUCCAAGUCAACACACUAUAAAGGGGAAUAGAAUGACUCUCUAUGGGUCCAAGUUAACACUCUAUAAAGGGGAAUAGAAUGACUCUCUAUGGGUCCAAGUUAACACUCUAUAAAGGGGAAUAGAAUGACUCUCUAUGGGUCCAAGUUAACACUCUAUAAAGGGGAAUAGAAUGACUCUCUAUGGGUCCAAGUUAACACUCUAUAAAGGGGAAAAGAAUGACUCUCUAUGGGUCCAGGUUAACACUCUAUAAAGGGAA